AUACGGAGGGUGCAAGCGUUACUCGGAAUCACUGGGCGUAAAGCGCGCGCAGGCGGCUAUUUAAGUUGGAUGUGAAAGCCUACGGCUCAACCGUAGAACUGCAUCCAAAACUAUUUAGCUAGAGUGUGGGAGAGGAAGAUGGAAUUAGUUGUGUAGGGGUAAAAUCCGUAGAGAUAACUAGGAAUACCAAAAGCGAAGGCAAUCUUCUGGAACACUACUGACGCUGAGGCGCGAAAGCGUGAGGAGCAAACAGGAUUAGAAACCCUAGUAGUCC
rnacentral:rRNA from 1 species